GAUGAACGCUGGCGGCGUGCCUAAUACAUGCAAGUCGAGCGAACAGACGAGGAGCUUGCUCCUCUGACGUUAGCGGCGGACGGGUGAGUAACACGUGGAUAACCUACCUAUAAGACUGGGAUAACUUCGGGAAACCGGAGCUAAUACCGGAUAAUAUAUUGAACCGCAUGGUUCAAUAGUGAAAGACGGUUUUGCUGUCACUUAUAGAUGGAUCCGCGCCGCAUUAGCUAGUUGGUAAGGUAACGGCUUACCAAGGCAACGAUGCGUAGCCGACCUGAGAGGGUGAUAGGCCACACUGGAGCUGAGACACGGUCCAGACUCCUACGGGAGGCAGCAGUAGGGAAUCUGCCGCAAUGGGCGAAAGCCUGACGGAGCAACGCCGCGUGAGUGAUGAAGGUCUUCGGAUCGUAAAACUCUGUUAUUAGGGAAGAACAAAUGUGUAAGUAACUAUGCACGUCUUGACGGUACCUAAUCAGAAAGCCACGGCUAACUACGUG
rnacentral:rRNA from 1 species